AGCCUAUUAGCUUAAAUGGUAGAGCAAUGUGCCAUUGUACAUUUAUGUAGGUUCGAGUCCUACAUAGGCUG
rnacentral:tRNA from 1 species